GUGCCAUUUAAGGAAGUGGCUGUGGAAUUCACCAUGAAAGAGUGGCAGGAUCUGAACAAUGCACACAAGAUCUCAUACAGUGAUGUGAUACUGGAGACCUACAGUAGCCUGGUGUUGUUGGGAUGCUGUGUUACCAAACCUGAGGUGAUCUUCAAGUUGGAGUAAGGAGCAGAGCCACGGAUGACUGGUGAAUCCCCCAAACAGAACCUCCCAGAAUUCAUAUUCUCAUCAGAGAGAGAGAAACAAGAAAAUAAUGUAUUUCUGUGUUGGAUUAUUUGCUGUUCCCACCACUUUACGCUUUGAACCAACGCGCUGUUCUUUGGUUACUUCUACAAUGGAGGAACUUCCUGUGGGCAAUUCUGAUAAGAUGCUCCAGAAACAAACUGCUCAGUAAUGACGUCUCAACCUAUGAACUGAUGACAAAUCUGACACUGAGCCUCUAACACCAAUGAACUGUUUCCAAGCAGCUUAUGUGAACUUCUCCCUUUAUGCCAAUGAAAGCUUCUCUCACUCUUCCCUCACAGAAUGCCUUCAUGGCUUGUUAUGGUGUGUAUUCCAGAAAUUAAUCCAAUUUUAUAUUCAUGAAUAAACUCAACAUAUUUGGAGAUUA